rnacentral:rRNA from 1 species
GGGUUGUGAGGUUAAGCGACUAAGCGUACACGGUGGAUGCCCUGGCAGUCAGAGGCGAUGAAGGACGUGCUAAUCUGCGAUAAGCGUCGGUAAGGUGAUAUGAACCGUUAUAACCGGCGAUUUCCGAAUGGGGAAACCCAGUGUGAUUCGUCACACUAUCAUUAACUGAAUCCAUAGGUUAAUGAGGCGAACCGGGGGAACUGAAACAUCUAAGUACCCCGAGGAAAAGAAAUCAACCGAGAUUCCCCCAGUAGCGGCGAGCGAACGGGGAGCAGCCCAGAGCCUGAAUCAGUGUGUGUGUUAGUGGAAGCGUCUGGAAAGGCGCGCGAUACAGGGUGACAGCCCCGUACACAAAAAUGCACAUGCUGUGAGCUCGAUGAGUAGGGCGGGACACGUGGUAUCCUGUCUGAAUAUGGGGGGACCAUCCUCCAAGGCUAAAUACUCCUGACUGACCGAUAGUGAACCAGUACCGUGAGGGAAAGGCGAAAAGAACCCCGGCGAGGGGAGUGAAAAAGAACCUGAAACCGUGUACGUACAAGCAGUGGGAGCACGCUUCGGCGUGUGACUGCGUACCUUUUGUAUAAUGGGUCAGCGACUUAUAUUCUGUAGCAAGGUUAACCGAAUAGGGGAGCCGAAGGGAAACCGAGUCUUAACUGGGCGUUAAGUUGCAGGGUAUAGACCCGAAACCCGGUGAUCUAGCCAUGGGCAGGUUGAAGGUUGGGUAACACUAACUGGAGGACCGAACCGACUAAUGUUGAAAAAUUAGCGGAUGACUUGUGGCUGGGGGUGAAAGGCCAAUCAAACCGGGAGAUAGCUGGUUCUCCCCGAAAGCUAUUUAGGUAGCGCCUCGUGAAUUCAUCUCCGGGGGUAGAGCACUGUUUCGGCAAGGGGGUCAUCCCGACUUACCAACCCGAUGCAAACUGCGAAUACCGGAGAAUGUUAUCACGGGAGACACACGGCGGGUGCUAACGUCCGUCGUGAAGAGGGAAACAACCCAGACCGCCAGCUAAGGUCCCAAAGUCAUGGUUAAGUGGGAAACGAUGUGGGAAGGCCCAGACAGCCAGGAUGUUGGCUUAGAAGCAGCCAUCAUUUAAAGAAAGCGUAAUAGCUCACUGGUCGAGUCGGCCUGCGCGGAAGAUGUAACGGGGCUAAACCAUGCACCGAAGCUGCGGCAGCGACACUAUGUGUUGUUGGGUAGGGGAGCGUUCUGUAAGCCUGUGAAGGUGUACUGUGAGGUAUGCUGGAGGUAUCAGAAGUGCGAAUGCUGACAUAAGUAACGAUAAAGCGGGUGAAAAGCCCGCUCGCCGGAAGACCAAGGGUUCCUGUCCAACGUUAAUCGGGGCAGGGUGAGUCGACCCCUAAGGCGAGGCCGAAAGGCGUAGUCGAUGGGAAACAGGUUAAUAUUCCUGUACUUGGUGUUACUGCGAAGGGGGGACGGAGAAGGCUAUGUUGGCCGGGCGACGGUUGUCCCGGUUUAAGCGUGUAGGCUGGUUUUCCAGGCAAAUCCGGAAAAUCAAGGCUGAGGCGUGAUGACGAGGCACUACGGUGCUGAAGCAACAAAUGCCCUGCUUCCAGGAAAAGCCUCUAAGCAUCAGGUAACAUCAAAUCGUACCCCAAACCGACACAGGUGGUCAGGUAGAGAAUACCAAGGCGCUUGAGAGAACUCGGGUGAAGGAACUAGGCAAAAUGGUGCCGUAACUUCGGGAGAAGGCACGCUGAUAUGUAGGUGAAGCGACUUGCUCGUGGAGCUGAAAUCAGUCGAAGAUACCAGCUGGCUGCAACUGUUUAUUAAAAACACAGCACUGUGCAAACACGAAAGUGGACGUAUACGGUGUGACGCCUGCCCGGUGCCGGAAGGUUAAUUGAUGGGGUUAGCGCAAGCGAAGCUCUUGAUCGAAGCCCCGGUAAACGGCGGCCGUAACUAUAACGGUCCUAAGGUAGCGAAAUUCCUUGUCGGGUAAGUUCCGACCUGCACGAAUGGCGUAAUGAUGGCCAGGCUGUCUCCACCCGAGACUCAGUGAAAUUGAACUCGCUGUGAAGAUGCAGUGUACCCGCGGCAAGACGGAAAGACCCCGUGAACCUUUACUAUAGCUUGACACUGAACAUUGAGCCUUGAUGUGUAGGAUAGGUGGGAGGCUUUGAAGUGUGGACGCCAGUCUGCAUGGAGCCGACCUUGAAAUACCACCCUUUAAUGUUUGAUGUUCUAACGUUGGCCCCUGAUCGGGGUUGCGGACAGUGUCUGGUGGGUAGUUUGACUGGGGCGGUCUCCUCCUAAAGAGUAACGGAGGAGCACGAAGGUUGGCUAAUCCUGGUCGGACAUCAGGAGGUUAGUGCAAUGGCAUAAGCCAGCUUGACUGCGAGCGUGACGGCGCGAGCAGGUGCGAAAGCAGGUCAUAGUGAUCCGGUGGUUCUGAAUGGAAGGGCCAUCGCUCAACGGAUAAAAGGUACUCCGGGGAUAACAGGCUGAUACCGCCCAAGAGUUCAUAUCGACGGCGGUGUUUGGCACCUCGAUGUCGGCUCAUCACAUCCUGGGGCUGAAGUAGGUCCCAAGGGUAUGGCUGUUCGCCAUUUAAAGUGGUACGCGAGCUGGGUUUAGAACGUCGUGAGACAGUUCGGUCCCUAUCUGCCGUGGGCGCUGGAGAACUGAGGGGGGCUGCUCCUAGUACGAGAGGACCGGAGUGGACGCAUCACUGGUGUUCGGGUUGUCAUGCCAAUGGCACUGCCCGGUAGCUAAAUGCGGAAGAGAUAAGUGCUGAAAGCAUCUAAGCACGAAACUUGCCCCGAGAUGAGUUCUCCCUGACUCCCUGAGAGUCCUGAAGGAACGUUGAAGACGACGACGUUGAUAGGCCGGGUGUGUAAGCGCAGCGAUGCGUUGAGCUAACCGGUACUAAUGAACCGUGAGGCUUAACCUUACAACGCCGAAGGUGUUU